UACGUAGGGUGCGAGCGUUAAUCGGAAUUACUGGGCGUAAAGCGUGCGCAGGCGGUUUUGUAAGUCAGGUGUGAAAUCCCCGGGCUUAACCUGGGAAUGGCAUUUGGGACUGCAAGGCUCGAGUGCGGCAGAGGAGACUGGAAUUCCUGGUGUAGCAGUGAAAUGCGUAGAUAUCAGGAGGAACACCGAUGGCGAAGGCAGGUCUCUGGGCUGACACUGACGCUCAUGCACGAAAGCGUGGGGAGCAAACAGG
rnacentral:rRNA from 1 species